AGAGUUUGAUCAUGGCUCAGAAUCAACGCUGGCGGCGCGCUUAACACAUGCAAGUCGCACGAGAAAGUGGAGCAAUCCAUGAGUACAGUGGCGUACGGGUGAGUAACACGUGGAUUAUCUACCUUCUAGUGGGGAAUACCUCCGGGAAACUGGAGACAAUACCGCAUAAGCUCGUAAGAGGAAAGCAGCAAUGCGCUGGAAGAGGAGUCCGCGGCUGAUUAGCUAGUUGGCGGGGUAACGGCCCACCAAGGCGAAGAUCGGUAGCCGGCCUGAGAGGGCACACGGCCACACUGGCACUGAAACACGGGCCAGACUCCUACGGGAGGCAGCAGUGGGGAAUCUUGCACAAUGGAGGAAACUCUGAUGCAGCGACGCCGCGUGAGCGAUGAAGCCCUUCGGGGUGUAAAGCUCUUUCGACGGGAACGAUAAUGACGGUACCCGAAGAAGAAGCUGCGGCUAACUACGUGCCAGCAGCCGCGGUAAUACGUAGGCAGCAAGCGUUGUUCGGAAUUACUGGGCGUAAGAGUGUGUAGGCGGUGUUCUAAGUUUGUCGUGAAAUCUCCCGGCUUAACUGGGAGGGUGCGGCGAAAACUGGAAUGCUAGAGGAUGGGAGAGGUAAGCGGAAUUCCUGGUGUAGCGGUGAAAUGCGUAGAUAUCAGGAGGAACACCUGUGGUGUAGACAGCUUACUGGACCAUUUCUGACGCUGAGACACGAAAGCGUGGGUAGCAAACAGGAUUAGAUACCCUAGUAGUCC
rnacentral:rRNA from 1 species